GCCUCUAUAGCACAGUGGUACUGCGUCGCACUUGUAAAACGAGAUGCGAAGAUCUUGAGUUCAAUUCUCAAUGGAGGCA